rnacentral:misc_RNA from 1 species
CGCAUGAGCUACAGGACGGGUACCGUCCUCCAGUCAAUACAGGACCGACAAGCUUACAUAAGGGACAAUUGAUUCGGGCAAAAAAGCGUCAAGGACCCCAACCGAUCAUUGCUUCUACAUACAGACUUCAAGCAACACAUGGACAUCCGAUGCCUACUAUCUAAAUAGGCAAAGCAAGGGCUAACAUCCAUCGGAGCUUUAGGGUCUACGUCACACAAAACUUUAAGCAAGAGAUAGAGUAGGGACCCAGGGACUAUAGAAUUCCCUCAAAAUAGGUAUGGUGCACAUGGGGCCAAGCCAAUCCGAGGCACGAAAGUUUUAGCACUCGAACACAAUUGAACAGGUGUAAAACAGCGGUUGUCGCAGCCAUAACAGGGAACCAACCAACCGAAACGUACC